AGCGAACGCUGGCGGCAGGCUUAACACAUGCAAGUCGAGCGGGCCUUUCGGGGUCAGCGGCGGACGGGUGAGUAACGCGUGGGAACGUGCCCUCUGGUUCGGAAUAACUCAGGGAAACUUGAGCUAGUACCGGAUACGCCCUUUUGGGGAAAGGCUUGCUGCCGGAGGAUCGGCCCGCGUCUGAUUAGCUAGUUGGUGAGGUAACGGCUCACCAAGGCGACGAUCAGUAGCUGGUCUGAGAGGAUGAUCAGCCACACUGGGACUGAGACACGGCCCAGACUCCUACGGGAGGCAGCAGUGGGGAAUAUUGGACAAUGGGCGCAAGCCUGAUCCAGCCAUGCCGCGUGAGUGAUGAAGGCCUUAGGGUUGUAAAGCUCUUUUAUCCGGGACGAUAAUGACGGUACCGGAGGAAUAAGCCCCGGCUAACUUCGUG
rnacentral:rRNA from 1 species